UGGCGGGUUCCCCAAUCCUCCUGGUGCUUAAGGCCCCAGCAGGUCGCUCAGCUGUGGAGUGGCAGGAGACAUGCUGCUGGGAGGCAGGCCUGCGCAGGGGGAAAGCUUAAGCUCCAGUCUGGUUGGCUGAUGCCAAGCAGAACUGCUGUGACAGGUCAGGACCGUCCUUCACCUUUGCUUGGCAUACAAAAUUGUACUGACUAGAAGAUGUAGGAAGAGCAGUAGAGAUGUUUUAUGGCAGAAAAUAAUCAGAAGCAAUGACAUGCCAUCAAGCAGACAUAAUAUUUUGCUGCACCUUCUUAUGUGUUGAUUUGCGGAAUCAAACUCCAUAACCUGAGAUGAGGUUAUAAAGCAGGUAUGUUUAUUACGGUGCUGCGCCCACACCGGAUGCGAGGGGGGUUGCUGCCCUACCAAACUUGC